GACAGAGGGUGCAAACGUUGUUCGGAUUUACUGGGCGCAAAGCGUGUGUAGGCGGCUUUGCAAGUCGGAUGUGAAAUCCCACGGCUCAACCGUGGAAGUGCAUCCGAAACGGCAUCGCUUGAGUCUCGGAGAGGAAGGUGGAAUGCUUGGUGUAGAGGUGAAAUUCGUAGAUAUCAAGCAGAACACCUGUGGCGAAGGCGGCCAUCUGGACGGAUACUGACGCUGAGACGCGAAAGCGUGGGGAGCAAACAGG
rnacentral:rRNA from 1 species